AACGCAUAUUGCGCCCGCUAGUAUUCUGGCGGGCAUGCCUGUCUGAGCGUCAUUUCAACCCUCAGCCCCCGUUCGCGGGGCGCUGGCGUUGGGGCCCGGCCGUCCUCGCGGCGGCCGUCCCCGAAACACAGUGGCGGUCUCCCGCAGACUCCCCUGCGUAGUAGCACUACCUCGCAGAAGGGACGAGCGGGCUGGCCACGCUGUAAAACACCCCACUUCUCCAGGUUGACCUUAGAUCAGGUAGGAAUACCCGCUGAACUUAA
rnacentral:misc_RNA from 1 species